CUCAUUUAAUCCUUAGAGCGAGAGGCAGGUAUCAUCGAUCCCAGUGAGAAAUGAAAAAACGGAGUUAAAUCACUUGCACAGAGUCAUGGAACCAUUAAGAAUCCGAGCCUCCAUCACUACAAGUUUCUGUCUUCAGUGAGUCUACAACCUAGGUGAAGAGCCAAAUCUCCCGACAGAAAGCAUCACCACGUGAAGAAUGCACCUGGGACACCUUCUCUAACCCUCCCCAGCCUCUCCGCCACCACACCUGACGCGCCCUCUGCAAUACAGCACAUCAUGUACUGAACCGCUGCAGGCCACACUGAAGAACUGCCCUCUGGUUGUCACAUUGCUCCCCGGGGAAGGUGCGUUCUUGGUCCCCAAAUCUCUGAAGAGCACAGCUCUGUACCCUGAAGGCUGGCAGGACUUACUUAGGAAAACUGUCGCUUUGAGGCCCACACAGCCUAGAA